AGUGAACGCUGGCGGUAGGCCUAACACAUGCAAGUCGAACGGCAGCACAGUAAGAGCUUGCUCUUACGGGUGGCGAGUGGCGGACGGGUGAGGAAUACAUCGGAAUCUACUUUUUCGUGGGGGAUAACGUAGGGAAACUUACGCUAAUACCGCAUACGACCUACGGGUGAAAGCAGGGGAUCUUCGGACCUUGCGCGAUUGAAUGAGCCGAUGUCGGAUUAGCUAGUUGGCGGGGUAAAGGCCCACCAAGGCGACGAUCCGUAGCUGGUCUGAGAGGAUGAUCAGCCACACUGGAACUGGGACACGGUCCAGACGCCUACGGGAGGCAGCAGUGGGGAAUAUUGGACAAUGGGCGCAAGCCUGAUCCAGCCAUACCGCGUGGGUGAAGAAGGCCUUCGGGUUGUAAAGCCCUUUUGUUGGGAAAGAAAAGCAGCAGGUUAAUACCCCGCUGUUCUGACGGUACCCAAAGAAUAAGCACCGGCUAACUUCGUG
rnacentral:rRNA from 1 species